CCGGUUGCGGGUUCCCUAGGCUGCCUCUUCCGCUGGGCGCCCCCAUUCAACUCCGCCCCAAGUCCAUACAUCCUCAAAACUUGCCCCCGCAGUCCCUCUCUGGCCCGCUCCUUCCCCCCCCCUUCCCCAAGCAGUCUCCAGAAACCUCCCUCCCGCGCACAGCUGGUCCACGGGUCCCGAACCAACCCCUCCGCCGCUCCGCCUCACAGCUGAACCCCUAGUCCCACCACCCACUAGUUCCCCCCUGCCCAAAAUAAGUUUUUCUGCCCAGGGAAACCUCAAAUUGAGAGUGACCUCCAAACUGCCGAGAGGCGGCGUCAGUGGAUGGCCAGCCCUGGCAUAUAAAGCUGUGUGACCCUGGGCAUCCCAACUCACUUGUUAUAAGUGCUCUUCUCAGUCUACCUAACCCCCAACCAGAUAUAUUUGUAACAGUAUGGAUGUCCCACUUAAUGCGGAAAAGAAGAGAGGAAGAUAAAAGCCCCUAUCCCUCCCCAUUCCAUCUCAUCCUCUCCAGCCCUUGCAAGACACAGAUCUGGGCCUUAAUGGAAAGCUGAGACAAGGGGAC